GGCAGCAGCCGCGGUAAUACCGGCGGCUCGAGUGGUGGCCACUUUAUGGGCUUAAAGCGUUCGUAGCUGGGUCGUUAAGUCUCUUGGGAAAUCCGGCAGCUUAACUGUCGGGCGUCUAAGGGAUACUGGCGAUCUUGGAACCGGGAGAGGUGAGGGGUACUUCGGGGGUAGGAGUGAAAUCCUGUAAUCCUCGAGGGACCACCUGUGGCGAAGGCGCCUCACCAGAACGGCUUCGACAGUGAGGGACGAAAGCGUGGGGGAGCAAACCGGAUUAGAUACCCGGGUAGUCCCAGCCGUAAACGAUGUGCGUUAGGUGUAUCGACGACCACGAGUCGUCGAGGUGCCGAAGGGAAACCGUGAAACGUACCGCCUGGGAAGUACGGUCGCAAGGCUGAAACUUAAAGGAAUUGGCGGGGGAGCACCACAACAGGUGGAGCCUGCGGUUUAAUUUGGACUCAACGCCGGGAAGCUCACCGGAUAAGACAGCUGAGUGAUUGCCGGGCUGAAGACUCUGCAUGGCUAGCUGAGGAGUGGUGGUGCAUGG
rnacentral:rRNA from 1 species